AUAGUGAAAGACGGUUUCGGCUGUCACUUAUAGAUGGACCCGCGCCGUAUUAGCUAGUUGGUAAGGUAACGGCUUACCAAGGCGACGAUACGUAGCCGACCUGAGAGGGUGAUCGGCCACACUGGAACUGAGACACGGUCCAGACUCCUACGGGAGGCAGCAGUAGGGAAUCUUCCGCAAUGGGCGAAAGCCUGACGGAGCAACGCCGCGUGAGUGAUGAAGGUCUUCGGAUCGUAAAACUCUGUUGUUAGGGAAGAACAAAUUUGUUAGUAACUGAACAAGUCUUGACGGUACCUAACCAGAAAGCCACGGCUAACUACGUGCCAGCAGCCGCGGUAAUACGUAGGUGGCAAGCGUUAUCCGGAAUUAUUGGGCGUAAAGCGCGCGUAGGCGGUUUCUUAAGUCUGAUGUGAAAGCCCACGGCUCAACCGUGGAGGGUCAUUGGAAACUGGGAAACUUGAGUGCAGAAGAGGAGAGUGGAAUUCCAUGUGUAGCGGUGAAAUGCGCAGAGAUAUGGAGGAACACCAGUGGCGAAGGCGGCUCUCUGGUCUGUAACUGACGCUGAUGUGCGAAAGCGUGGGGAUCAAACAGGAUUAGAUACCCUGGUAGUCCACGCCGUA
rnacentral:rRNA from 1 species